rnacentral:rRNA from 1 species
AAAUCAUUUUGAUGGUCAUAAAAUGGCUGGAGGAAUGUAGCUUCGAUCUUGUAUUGAAGUGUUAUAGCCUUCGGUAGAUGUGACGAUCGGGAUUGAGGAUUGCAACGGAUACCCUUCGGGGCUACCUGUCUGAUCUCUGAUUGUUGCUCUGGUACCGAAAGCUUGCUUACGGUUAUCAAAGUCGAUGGUCAAUAGGUUAGAACGGGUUAAAUUCGUUAAGGAUGUUGACGUAA